rnacentral:lncRNA from 7 species
UUGCUUUACAGACUUCUCAGAGUUUGCUACCAGCCUUGGACAUCUGCUGCAUGCAAAUAUUCAUGCUGCUUGUUGGCAAAAUGCCUCCGGUUUUGAUCAGAAAGCCUUACCAUUAGCUUUGCUAUUGAUCAUUUGAAUUGAAAUGUGUAUUAUUUCGGAGCUCUUUUGACAUCUGUUACAUCAGCAGGAUGAGAAUCUCCAGUAAGGAAGGCUGAGGAGGUGGCUGUGAUCAGAAGAUGGCCAACACAACGGGGCGCGUGGACUUUGCAAAGCUCUCCAUCCCACUCAGGAAUCUCUUUUUUCUGCUAAGAGCCCCUUUGGGUGCUGUGUUUCAGCACAAAAAGUAACUCCUAAGAGAACUCUAUCCAGGAACAGAUAAAUUAUAAAGCGUCUCAAAGGCAGACCGAAAACAAGUCCCAUUGUGUGUGACGUUAGACUAAGGACCUAUGCAGAAUAUUUGUAGAAACUUCAAAACUCUCUCUGUCACAGCUGUCAGUUCUGAGAAAACAAGGUGAGGAACUCCAGACUGAGCUGCUGGCAAGCCGUGCACUUGCUUAUUGCUAUGCAAAUGAACACCCUGCUGUUCAGCAUCCUUACUGUCUACGUUCUCCUUGCAGCAGCUCUCUCUGGGAUCAGUGGCAGCUCAGAACUCAGUAACCUUUUCCACUGACUUAUUCCACACGCUGGCAGAUGAACUGAUCCGCAUGAAUCAGCUUCCCUGUAAACAGCCUCUGGUCCUGACUUACACAUUUACAUACUAUGAGCAAGGGAAAGGGGAGAGAUUAAUGCAAAAGGAAAUUAGUUUGGCACGCAGGAUGUCUGGGGGUUCCACUAAGAGGAUGUACAGCCCUUCACCUCCAUAGCAGCGAGAAUGUCAAAUCAAAUCUGAAGAUUGUACAUCAGUCCUUACGAAAUAAACAGGAAAUCUGAAGCUUAGUACCCAGCUGGUUGGUUUCCACAUGGCACUAACACCACUGCAUUUGUAACUGGCAGAAAGGCCAAGGACUCUGUAACUAUGCUUCUUCCAAGACAUGGAACACUGGCACUUCCCUAAGGAGAAAUGCACUAAAGAGAGUAUCUUCUUUGGCUACGUUCUGCAUGCUGUCUCCUACAGUGGACACCUGUAUGUACACUGCACAGAAAGGACUACUGGUGGUGUGUGCUGCACUGCAGAGCUUGCAGACAUCCCACAGAGACUAAAGGUCCCUGCUUGGGCACCUGCACAGAAGCCCUCAGUGGGGACUUUGCUGGCUGUCCUCAUGCAUGGGGCAAUCUGGGCUGAACAAGAGACGGAGCACAUGGGAGAGGCAUAAAAGAUUCUGAAACGCCUCCUAAAACUGCCCAGGAAAGCGGAACAUCCACGCAGCAAUUCACCUGCUGCUCCUCCGUUUUCCUGGUGCAGAUGGAACAGCGUGGGAAGGACUGCUGCUCCCCCAGCAGAUAGUGAGACGCUGAAGUCAUUUCCACUCCCACUUGUGCAUCCAAGCACGCGUUGGAGUUGUGGCACAGCUCUACUGGAGAAGACACACACAACAGGCAGUCAGCUGUAGGCCCCGAGUGCUGGCAGGAGCCAACGUGCAAGAGGAGCAGACUGCCUGGAACCUGGUUACAGCCCAUCUUCACUACAAAGAACUGUUAUGAGUAAUUGUUUAAUGUGGAGCUAAAGAAAUGCAUCCAUCUCCUUGUCAUCUUUAAUUUGCAGGAAAGUCCCUCUGAUACUCAGUCCUAACUUGCAUCAGUGAUGCAGAGCGUCGUAAAUAUUUUGACAAGCUUGGCUACCUGCAGCAUUCUCAGCAGCCCAGAAGGCUUCAAAUGGUCCUGAAGUUGUUUUUAAAGUAAUACGUAAUUAUUUGUAUGCAACACGAAUGAGUGUGAUAUUAGUGACUAGGAAGAAUUUAAACAUUAAGGAAUACAGUGCGAAUGCAUUACUAACGUGUAAAACAUUUUGUCCUUUCCUAUCUUGUUCUGAAGUAUGCUGAAUUGCAACCCUGGGGGGAAUGCGAUGGCAUUAUUCAUCCCUCAUUUCAAACAGCAGACAAAAAUAUCUGAAAUUAAAAUACCAUUUGUGAUAUUAAUACCUGGCAUAAAACUGAAAAUGAAUAAAAGCAAAUCCUACAAG